rnacentral:rRNA from 1 species
UGGGGGAUUUUCCGCAAUGGGCGAAAGCUUGACGGAGCAAUGCCGCGUGGAGGUGGAAGGCCUACGGGUCGUCAACUUCUUUUCUCGGAGAAGAAACAAUGACGGUAUCUGAGGAAUAAGCAUCGGCUAACUCUGCGCCAG